rnacentral:rRNA from 1 species
AUUGAACGCUGGCGGCAGGCCUAACACAUGCAAGUCGAGCGGAUGAAGGGAGCUUGCUCCUGGAUUCAGCGGCGGACGGGUGAGUAAUGCCUAGGAAUCUGCCUGGUAGUGGGGGAUAACGUCCGGAAACGGGCGCUAAUACCGCAUACGUCCUGAGGGAGAAAGUGGGGGUUCUUCGGACCUCACGCUAUCAGAUGAGCCUAGGUCGGAUUAGCUAGUUGGUGGGGUAAAGGCCUACCAAGGCGACGAUCCGUAACUGGUCUGAGAGGAUGAUCAGUCACACUGGAACUGAGACACGGUCCAGACUCCUACGGGAGGCAGCAGUGGGGAAUAUUGGACAAUGGGCGAAAGCCUGAUCCAGCCACGCCGCGUGUGUGAAGAAGGUCUUCGGAUUGUAAAGCACUUUAAGUUGGGAGGAAGGGCAGUAAGUUAAUAGCUUGCUGUUUUGACGUUACCAACAGAAUAAGCACCGGCUAACUUCGUG